rnacentral:rRNA from 1 species
UGCAGUCGAGCGAACAGAUAAGGAGCUUGCUCCUUUGACGUUAGCGGCGGACGGGUGAGUAACACGUGGGUAACCUACCUAUAAGACUGGAAUAACUCCGGGAAACCGGGGCUAAUGCCGGAUAACAUUUAGAACCGCAUGGUUCUAAAGUGAAAGAUGGUUUUGCUAUCACUUAUAGAUGGACCCGCGCCGUAUUAGCUAGUUGGUAAGGUAACGGCUUACCAAGGCAACGAUACGUAGCCGACCUGAGAGGGUGAUCGGCCACACUGGAACUGAGACACGGUCCAGACUCCUACGGGAGGCAGCAGUAGGGAAUCUUCCGCAAUGGGCGAAAGCCUGACGGAGCAACGCCGCGUGAGUGAUGAAGGUCUUCGGAUCGUAAAACUCUGUUAUUAGGGAAGAACAAAUGUGUAAGUAACUAUGCACGUCUUGACGGUACCUAAUCAGAAAGCCACGGCUAACUACGUGCCAGCAGCCGCG